CACGUAGGGGGCGAGCGUUGUCCGGAUUUAUUGGGCGUAAAGAGCUCGUAGGCGGCUCGGUAAGUCAGGUGUGAAAACUCUAGGCUCAACCUAGAGACGCCACCUGAUACUGCUGUGGCUAGAGUCCGGUAGGGGAGCAUGGAAUUCCUGGUGUAGCGGUGAAAUGCGCAGAUAUCAGGAAGAACACCCGUGGCGAAGGCGGUUCUCUGGGACGGUACUGACG
rnacentral:rRNA from 1 species